rnacentral:rRNA from 1 species
ACGGGGAUUGCCCUAGUAACGGCGAGUGAAGCGGCAACAGCUCAAAUUUGAAAUCUGGCUCUUUUAGAGUCCGAGUUGUAAUUUGCAGAGGGCGCUUUGGCGUUGGCAGCGGUCCAAGUUCCUUGGAACAGGACGUCACAGAGGGUGAGAAUCCCGUACGUGGUCGCUGGCCUUCGCCGUGUAAAGCCCCUUCGACGAGUCGAGUUGUUUGGGAAUGCAGCUCUAAAUGGGAGGUAAAUUUCUUCUAAAGCUAAAUACUGGCCAGAGACCGAUAGCGCACAAGUAGAGUGAUCGAAAGAUGAAAAGCACUUUGGAAAGAGAGUCAAAUAGCACGUGAAAUUGUUGAAAGGGAAGCGCUUGCAGCCAGACUUGCCUGUAGUUGCUCAUCCGGGCUUUUGCCCGGUGCACUCUUCUAUAGGCAGGCCAGCAUCAGUUUGGGCGGUUGGAUAAAGGUCUCUGUCAUGUACCUCUCUUCGGGGAGGCCUUAUAGGGGAGACGACAUGCAACCAGCCUGGACUGAGGUCCGCGCAUUUGCUAGGAUGCUGGCGUAAUGGCUGUAAGCGGCCCGUCUUGAAACACGGACCAAGGAGUCUAACAUCUAUGCGAGUGUUUGGGUGUCAAGCCCGAACGCGUAAUGAAAGUGAACGGAGGUGGGAACCCUUUAGGGUGCACCAUCGACCGAUCCUGAUGUCUUCGGAAGGAUUUGAGUAAGAGCAUGGCUGUUGGGACCCGAAAGAUGGUGAACUAUGCUUGAAUAGGGUGAAGCCAGAGGAAACUCUGGUGGAGGCUCGCAGCGGUUCUGACGUGCAAAUCGAUCGUCAAAUUUGGGCAUAGGGGCGAAAGACUAAUCGAACUAUCUAGUACCUGAUUCCUGCC